rnacentral:rRNA from 1 species
UAGGGAAUCUUCGGCAAUGGACGAAAGUCUGACCGAGCAACGCCGCGUGAGUGAAGAAGGUUUUCGGAUCGUAAAACUCUGUUGUUAGAGAAGAACAAGGACGUUAGUAACUGAACGUCCCCUGACGGUAUCUAACCAGAAAGCCACGGCUAACUACGUGCCAGCAGCCGCGGUAAUACGUAGGUGGCAAGCGUUGUCCGGAUUUAUUGGGCGUAAAGCGAGCGCAGGCGGUUUCUUAAGUCUGAUGUGAAAGCCCCCGGCUCAACCGGGGAGGGUCAUUGGAAACUGGGAGACUUGAGUGCAGAAGAGGAGAGUGGAAUUCCAUGUGUAGCGGUGAAAUGCGUAGAUAUAUGGAGGAAAACCAGUGGCGAAGGCGGCGCUCUGGUCUGUAACUGACGAUGAGGCUCGAAAGCGUGGGGAGCAAACAGG